rnacentral:rRNA from 1 species
CCUACGGGUGGCAGCAGUGAGGAAUAUUGGUCAAUGGGCGUAAGCCUGAACCAGCCAAGUCGCGUGAGGGAUGACGGUCCUAUGGAUUGUAAACCUCUUUUGUCAGGGAGCAAAAAGGCCUCGUGAGGCCACAAGUGAGAGUACCCGAAGAAAAAGCAUCGGCUAACUCCGUGCCAGCAGCCGCGGUAAUACGGAGGAUGCGAGCGUUAUUCGGAUUUAUUGGGUUUAAAGGGUGCGUAGGCGGACUGGAAAGUCAGCGGUAAAAUCGAGAGGCUCAACCUCUUUCCGCCGUUGAAACUGCAUCCCUUGAGUGCGCGAGAAGUAUGCGGAAUGCGUGGUGUAGCGGUGAAAUGCAUAGAUAUCACGCAGAACUCCGAUUGCGAAGGCAGCAUACCGGCGCGCAACUGACGCUCAUGCACGAAAGCGUGGGUAUCGAACAGGAUUAGAUACCCCAGUAGUC